UACGAAGGGUGCUAGCGUUGCUCGGAAUUACUGGGCGUAAAGCGCACGUAGGCGGCUUUCUAAGUCGGGGGUGAAAUCCUGGAGCUUAACUCCAGAACUGCCUUCGAUACUGGAGAGCUCGAGUCCGGGAGAGGUGAGUGGAACUGCGAGUGUAGAGGUGAAAUUCGUAGAUAUUCGCAAGAACACCAGUGGCGAAGGCGGCUCACUGGCCCGGUACUGACGCUGAGGUGCGAAAGCGUGGGGAGCAAACAGG
rnacentral:rRNA from 1 species